UACGUAGGGUGCGAGCGUUGUCCGGAAUUAUUGGGCGUAAAGAGCUCGUAGGCGGCUUGUCGCGUCGGAUGUGAAAGCCCGGGGCUUAACUCCGGGUCUGCAUUCGAUACGGGCAGGCUAGAGUUCGGUAGGGGAGAUCGGAAUUCCUGGUGUAGCGGUGGAAAUGACGCAGAUAUCAGGAGGAACACCGGUGGCGAAGGCGGGUCUCUGGGCCGAUACUGACGCUGAGGAGCGAAAGCGUGGGGAGCGAACAGG
rnacentral:rRNA from 1 species